AAGGUUGACCUCGGAUCAGGUAGGGAUACCCGCUGAACUUAAGCAUAUCAAUAAGACGGAGG
rnacentral:rRNA from 1 species